UUCUGUGAUCGCCCUUGUAUACAAGUAAAUGCUGCAGCGUCUGUGUGUGUUUCUACCCUUAGACUCUUAGCUGAAGAAGUGUCUUUAGAAUAAAUCUCUUGACAUUUAUUUUGGUCCUUCGAGAGCCGGAUCAGAAAUAUCAGAACUGUUAUCUGUGACUCUGUUCCAGGAUCUGGCAUACUGUUUCCUGACGCCGUGGAGCCAGCACCGAAGACUGUGCACAGCCCUCUUAGACGAGGAGGACCCGGGACGUUUGAGUCCGGGCCGGUCUGGUCCACGGCGGUGGGAUUCAGUCUGACGAUCCGGAUCACCAGUGAGACGUCUGAGGGUGAGAAACACUAUUUUGGUUAGGAAUCGCCGUAAUGAACCGACAAAUAAAAUAGGUUAGGAAUCGCCGUAAGGAACCGAAUUAGACCUAGGUUUUAGAGGUAGCCGUAAUUACUUCGUAACAAAUUGUAAAAGCGCGCAAAUGUCUAUGUGUGUGUAUGUGUCUGGAAGUAAGUUGAUUUUACAGCACAAUACGCUGCUGAACUACUUCUAUUUUUGUUUUUUGCUGAGGCUCAAGUACUGGUGACAAAGGAGACGGUUGAGUUUCAUCUCGUAAAACUGAUACCGCUUCAUUUUUUAGAAGUGAAGUCGAAGGGCGUAUCAGUAAACCACUCUGAAGUCAAGCGUGCCAGUGACGGCCCAGCAAAAUCUUUGAACAUGGAGAAUAAACAAGCAAAAUUAACACCUGAUGAGGAAUGUUUAGAAAAACAACAAACCGGAGCAGGAGUAAUCCAAAAGAAAGGGAGAGGAAUGCACAGGGCAGGAGCAAGAGGUAGAGGCAGGCCUAGACACACACCAAGCAGUGGUUUUAGUACUACAUGCUGGAGGUGUGGAAAAGAGGGACAUUUUGUACGUGACUGUAAGAAACAAAGAAGCAGUUCAGACUAGGAAGAAUAUAAUAAUCCCUCGUCAAGUAAAAGAUUAGAGAUCAAAGUUUAAAAAGGGCUGGAUACAGACCCAACUGAAUACAUAUAAAUA